rnacentral:tRNA from 1 species
GGCGGGGUAUCCGAGCCAGGUCUAAGGAGGAGGACUUAAGAUCCUCUGGCGCAGGCCUUCACGGGUUCAAGUCCCGUCCCCGCCACCA